AAUAUUGGACAAUGGGCGCAAGCCUGAUCCAGCGACGCCGCGUGAGUGAUGAAGGCCUUCGGGUUGUAAAGCUCUGUUGAGGGGAAAGAAAACGGCUGGCGUGAAUAACUCCAGUCCUUGACGGUACCCCUUUAGAAAGCACCGGCUAACUACGUGCCAGCAGCCGCGGUAAUACGUAGGGUGCGAGCGUUAAUCGGAAUUACUGGGCGUAAAGUGUGCGCAGGCGGCCGCGCAGGUCGAGUGUGAAAGCCCCGGGCUUAACUUGGGAAUUGCGCUCGAAACUACGUGGCUGGAGUGUGGCAGAGGAAGGUGGAAUUCCACGUGUAGCGGUGAAAUGCGUAGAGAUGUGGAGGAACACCGAUGGCGAAGGCAGCCUUCUGGGCCAACACUGACGCUCAUGCACGAAAGCGUGGGGAGCAAAC
rnacentral:rRNA from 1 species